UACGUAGGGGGCAAGCGUUGUCCGGAAUCAUUGGGCGUAAAGAGCGUGUAGGCGGCCAGAUAAGUCCGCUGUGAAAUCUCGAGGCUCAACUUCGAGCUGUCGGUGGAAACUGUCGGGCUCGAGUACGGAAGAGGCGAGUGGAAUUCCUGGUGUAGCGGUGAAAUGCGCAGAUAUCAGGAGGAACACCAAUUGCGAAGGCAGCUCGCUGGGACGUUACUGACGCUGAGACGCGAAAGCGUGGGGAGCAAACAGG
rnacentral:rRNA from 1 species